rnacentral:rRNA from 1 species
AUGCACGCUGGCGGCGUGCCUAAUACAUGCAAGUCGAGCGAACGGACGAGAAGCUUGCUUCUCUGAUGUUAGCGGCGGACGGGUGAGUAACACGUGGAUAACCUACCUAUAAGACUGGGAUAACUUCGGGAAACCGGAGCUAAUACCGGAUAAUAUUUUGAACCGCAUGGUUCAAAAGUGAAAGACGGUCUUGCUGUCACUUAUAGAUGGAUCCGCGCUGCAUUAGCUAGUUGGUAAGGUAACGGCUUACCAAGGCAACGAUGCAUAGCCGACCUGAGAGGGUGAUCGGCCACACUGGAACUGAGACACGGUCCAGACUCCUACGGGAGGCAGCAGUAGGGAAUCUUCCGCAAUGGGCGAAAGCCUGACGGAGCAACGCCGCGUGAGUGAUGAAGGUCUUCGGAUCGUAAAACUCUGUUAUUAGGGAAGAACAUAUGUGUAAGUAACUGUGCACAUCUUGACGGUACCUAAUCAGAAAGCCACGGCUAACUACGCG